AGAAAGUUAUGAGGUACUUUCAAAGAACUAAAAAUCACAUGCUUACAUAUAAAUGUCCAAAUGAUUUGGAAGUCAUUGGAUACUUAGAUUCUAACUUUGCUGGUUAUGUUGAUUCUCGUAAAUUAAGAUAUGAAAACAUCUUCAUGCUUGCUAAUAUUCUUCUUUCUUUUCUAGAACCUUCGCUGGCAUAAAUCGAAGGAGAGAGAAAGAUAUUGUUGGGGUUCCGACCUCGAGACCGAUAGGGAUGGAAGCUAGACCGGGUAGGUAAGCGGAGUUUGUAUGAGCCGCACAAAAUGAUAUGUUGGAGAAUGAAUGAGCUGACCACCUUAUGAGCCUGCUUCUAAUCGUGCAUGAAAAAGCUUAGGCUAUCUGACCCGUGAAUGAUGCCAAGUGAACCUCUCCUUUAAUCUUCCCUAAGAAGAAUUAAUAGAGUUCAGUAAAAUCCAGCUGGCAAAGAAAAGUCUACCUAUGUUCUAAGAAAUGGAUUGUUAAAUCUGACCGGAGCAACGCGGAUCCGCAUCUGCCUUUAAGGGUAAGGGAAAGAUUUCUAUCUCGGCCAUAACUAACUGGUAAUCAGGAGUUUCAGGAGGAUUACCAACCAUUACCCCGAACUGAAAAUAAGAAAGUGUCGUGAAAUGCAUGUCAGGCUAAACAGGAAAAUAAGAAAAAAUGAGCUUGAGUUAGUUGUUAUAAAAGGCUCAUCAAUGGGCAUAGGCUAUAGGUCUAUCAUGAAUAAGACUUAAACCAAAGUUGUUUAAGGAUCAUGUAAUGCAAAUAUGACUUAUUUCAGUUUAGUCUAUCCCUAUUUAACUUGAUGUAUUUUGAAACUCUGAAUGAUUAAUUUAUCUUUUCCUUUAAGUUUUUUAAUACAUAUCUGUUUGAGAAUGACAAGUAUCUUGUAAGCACCUAGAAUAAGCAUUUGAGGCUUAUUCAUGAACUAUAAAGUACCACAUAUAUGGUUUAUUCAAAAAGGGAAAUCAUUGGUAAUACAUAAAAGGUAAUACUCGUUUGAAGAGGGCUUACUGCCAAGAUUCAUGUAACUUAUAUUUUUGUUUAAGCAUGGCAUUUUACAAUAUCAUUUGUAAGUAUCAAGAUGAAAUUGUUCG
rnacentral:lncRNA from 1 species